AGCGAACGCUGGCGGCAGGCCUAACACAUGCAAGUCGAACGAAGUCUUCGGACUUAGUGGCGGACGGGUGAGUAACACGUGGGAACGUGCCUUUAGGUUCGGAAUAACUCCGGGAAACUUGUGCUAAUACCGAACGUGCCCUUCGGGGGAAAGAUUUAUCGCCUUUAGAGCGGCCCGCGUCUGAAUAGCUAGUUGGGGAGGUAAAGGCUCACCAAGGCGACGAUCAGGAGCUGGUCUGAGAGGAUGAUCAGCCACAUUGGGACUGAGACACGGCCCAAACUCCUACGGGGGUCAGCAGUGGGGAAUCUUGCGCAAUGGGCGAAAGCCUGACGCAGCCAUGCCGCGGGAAUGAUGAAGGUCUUAGGAUUGUAAAAUUCUUUCACCGGGGACGAUAAUGACGGUACCCGGAGAAGAAGCCCCGGCUAACUUCGUGCCAGCAGCCGCCGUAAAAC
rnacentral:rRNA from 1 species